rnacentral:rRNA from 1 species
ACACUCCUACGGGAGGCAGCAGUGGGGAAUUUUGGACAAUGGGCGAAAGCCUGAUCCAGCCAUGCCGCGUGCAGGAUGAAGGCCUUCGGGUUGUAAACUGCUUUUGUACGGAACGAAACGGCCUUUUCUAAUAAAGAGGGCUAAUGACGGUACCGUAAGAAUAAGCACCGGCUAACUACGUGCCAGCAGCCGCGGUAAUACGUAGGGUGCAAGCGUUAAUCGGAAUUACUGGGCGUAAAGCGUGCGCAGGCGGUUAUGUAAGACAGUUGUGAAAUCCCCGGGCUCAACCUGGGAACUGCAUCUGUGACUGCAUAGCUAGAGUACGGUAGAGGGGGAUGGAAUUCCGCGUGUAGCAGUGAAAUGCGUAGAUAUGCGGAGGAACACCGAUGGCGAAGGCAAUCCCCUGGACCUGUACUGACGCUCAUGCACGAAAGCGUGGGGAGCAAACAGGAUUAGAAACCCCUGUAGUCC